rnacentral:rRNA from 1 species
GGGGAAUAUUGGGCAAUGGACGCAAGUCUGACCCAGCAACGCCGCGUGAAGGAAGAAGGCUUUCGGGUUGUAAACUUCUUUUAAGGGGGAAGAGUAGAAGACGGUACCCCUUGAAUAAGCCACGGCUAACUACGUGCCAGCAGCCGCGGUAAUACGUAGGUGGCAAGCGUUGUCCGGAUUUACUGGGUGUAAAGGGCGUGUAGCCGGGAAGGUAAGUCAGAUGUGAAAUCCAACGGCUUAACCGUUGAACUGCAUUUGAAACUGCAAGGCUAGAGUAUGGGAGAGGUAGGUGGAAUUCUCGGUGUAGGGGUAAAAUCCGUAGAGAUCGAGAGGAAUACUCAUUGCGAAGGCGACCUGCUGGAACAUUACUGACGCUGAGGUGCGAAAGCGUGGGGAGCAAACA